UACGAAGGGGGGCUAGCGUUGUUCGGAAUUACUGGGCGUAAAGCGCACGCAGGUGGCUGAGUCAGUCGAUUGUGAAAGCCCUGGGCUUAACCUGGGAAUUGCAGUCGAUACUACUCAGCUAGAGUAUGGGAGAGGGUAGUGGAAUUCCCGGUGUAGCGGUGAAAUGCGUAGAUAUCGGGAGGAACAUCAGUGGCGAAGGCGGCUACCUGGCCCAAUACUGACACUCAGGUGCGACAGCGUGGGGAGCAAACAGG
rnacentral:rRNA from 1 species